rnacentral:rRNA from 1 species
GACGAACGCUGGCGGCGUGCUUAACACAUGCAAGUCGAACGGUGAAGCGCCUUCUUUUUUGGUGGGUGUGGAUGAGUGGCGAACGGGUGAGUAACACGUGAGUAACCUGCCCCCUUCUUCUGGAUAACCGCAUGAAAGUGUGGCUAAUACGGGAUAUUCUGGGUCUGUCGCAUGAUGGGUCUGGGUACGAUAUUGUUUCGGUGGGGGAUGGGCUUGCGGCCUAUCAGCUUGUUGGUGGGGUGAUGGCCUAGCAAGGCGUUGACGUGUAGCCGGUGUGCGAGGGUGGACGGUCACAACAGGCGUGAGACACUGCACCGAGUUGAACGAGCGGCAGCAGCACAGAGUAUCGGCUAAUCGGGACAAAUCUAAAGCAGUGGCGACGAGCGACUGAUGGAGACCUUCGAGGUGUGAUACUCUUUCGUUGGUGAAGAAGGCCUGCCUGGUUUGUAGAUGGGUUGACGGUAGCUGGAUAAGAAGCGACGGCUAAGUACGUG